rnacentral:rRNA from 1 species
GACGAACGCUGGCGGCGUGCCUAAUACAUGCAAGUAGAACGCACAGUUUAUACCGUAGCUUGCUACACCAUAGACUGUGAGUUGCGAACGGGUGAGUAACGCGUAGGUAACCUGCCUGGUAGCGGGGGAUAACUAUUGGAAACGAUAGCUAAUACCGCAUAAUAUUAAUUAUUGCAUGAUAAUUAAUUGAAAGGUGCAAUUGCACCACUACCAGAUGGACCUGCUGUGUAUUAGCUAGUAGGGGAGGUAACGGGCCACCUAAGCGAAGAUACAUCGCCGAACCUGAGAGGUGGUCCGCCCACACGGGAAUGGAGCCAGGGCCAAGACCCCAACGGAGGGAGCAGGAGGGGAACUUUCGCAAUGGGCGGAAGGCUGGACGGGGAAAGCCGCGUGGGUGAAGGAGGUUUUCGGGUCGGAAAGAUCUGUUGUAAGGGAAGAAAGGGUGUGGGAGUUGACAGUGCACACUGUGACGGUAUCUUAUCAGAAAGGGACGGCUAACUACGUG